rnacentral:lncRNA from 1 species
GCGAUUUCGUUCAUGUCUGGCGCGUUGGGCCUUAAUUUUAGAGGAAGCGAAAUUUGAUGCGGGAGUCUAAAAUAGGAAGUGAUGUGUGGAAUAAAUUAAAUGUAUGAUAGGAACAAAAAAAUUAAGAAGAUUAAAUAAGACUCUAUAAUAUGUAAGAAUGGCUAAAGAAACCAUUACAUAAUUUGGACAAUAUGUUAGCAGGUCCAAAAUCAAAUCCAUGUAAGAAUAGAGUCGUGUGUGCGUGAGAGAGAUGUGUAAGAGUAAGAGUGAGGGGUGAGGAACUCAAAAAUAUCACCGACAAUAUAGUGUAUAUAACCAAAAUAAGGCAUUAGGUUAUCAUGUCCAAAAAGCAUUAAUUUUUAAAAUCAAAUUCAUGUGUGCGUGAGAGAGACUGAGGGGUGAGGAACUAAAAAAUAUCAGCGACAAUUUAGUGCAUAAUGCUCUAACUGUUUUUAACAACAGAUAAACAAUGAUUAGUACAACAUACCGAUUGAUUGCUCCAAUUUUCUUUUCCAAUAGAACAACCAAGCUUUGCUUUCCCUUUCGUUGAAGAUGGAAUAAAACUUGGGUUGUUCAAGUGAUUCACAUGUGAAUUCUCCUAGGAAGUACAAAAUAAGAUAUUAGUCAAAAAAUGCAAACUAAUAUUAAAAUGAAUUUUUUUAACAAUACCAGUAGCGUUACCUUAUCCAUAUGUAAUUGAUUAGAUCAAUCUGUAAGAGCAAACUUAAUAAAUUAAACAUGAACAAAUAAAGAUACAAAGACAGAUACAUUCAAUACUAUUGUUACUAUUAUUACUAUACAUUCAAUACUAUUGUUACUAUACAUUCAAUUCUAUUAUUUUGAAGAUAGUUGAGUUUAUAAACUAUUGAAGACAUUGAAUACUAAUUUACUACUGCUGGGUAUAAGGAUCAUUUGGCAAUAAGAAUAUGUAAACAGUCAUUUUCCAUUCUUUACUUCUUUCUUUUUCUUGUUUUUCACUCAAUCAAUGAAGCCUCUUUGUGUUCUUUCUUUCGAUUCUUUUGAACAAAAACUCCAUUAACAACCUAUAUCAAAAAUGUAGCACAUGAAAUAGGAGCAAUAUAAAGAAUAGGAGUAAAUCUUAGUAUAGUAAUAACUUAAAAACAAACUCACAUGAAUUUUUGAAAUUUUCACAUGGUUCCUGUCACAUGAAGGCGGAACCUACUUUCUUCUCAUGCGAAAAUAUCAGUAUUAUUAUAAUUAAAAAUUUAAUUAUAAAUAGGAUGACAUAGUGUUUUCUUCUAUUACAUGCUAGAAAUUAAUGCAUCACCUUCUAUGACAAGUUUUGAAGUUAAUAGAUUGAUAUGAUCUUUUAAGUUUAAAGGUAACUUAAAGGUAACAGUAUGCUUAAUGUAUGCUUAAAAACAUCAAAAUAAAAUUGAAGUGACAGUUUCACAACUUUUUUGUUAAUUGUUUCAUAUAGUAAACAAUUAAAAUAAAAUUAAUGACACUUCAGAAAAAAUAAGAACAAUUCAUAAAAUGAUACAUCUUAUUAUCGAAGUGUUAAAAAAAUAUUUCUAUUGUUCUUUUUUUUUUAUACUAAAUUUAUAUUGUUUUUCUUAGGAUGGAAGGAGUAUUAAAUUUAAGAAAUUGAUGGAAGGAGUAUCAUCAGAUUGAAGUGACAGUUUCACAACUUUUUUGUUAAAUUAAAAACAUUAAAAUAAAAUUAAUGUCAAGUUAACUCACACAUCACUUUCUAAAGGCAUCUAAUGUUAACAACAAUCAGUUUUAUACUUUAGAUUAUACUAUAGUAAGGAAUUUAAGAUUUUGCCCAAAUUCAAACUUGUCCUUGCAAUAUAUUCUAUCCAACGCUAUCAAUUUAAUUUCUAAUUUCUAACAAUCAAUAUAAAGCAUGGGAAUAAAUAAAAUCUGCUCAACAUUGAAACAAAAAGCAAAAUCAAAUCUUUGAAUGUAUAAAAAAUAUAUAAAUAAUCACUUUCUAAACAAAAAGAUAACAUAGAAAUAUUCAUAAAUAUAUUCAUUAAGCACAAAAUUAAAACAAAGGCAAACACACAUAAAGGAUAAUGAUAAGAGAGAUAAAAAUCAAACCUUAGCUUUCUUACACAAUUUGAAAAGAAUUUUUUUAAACAAUCUCCGAAUCCAUUAAUGCACCAGCCUGAAAAUCAAGGUUUUGAACAUACCAGAAAUUCUCAAAUGUUAUUCCGAACAGAAAUACCUCAGAAGUAAAAUAACUAACUGAAAUCAAAUUGCAGAGGAAGGGUAACAUUAACAAACUGGAAGUGAAACCAAAACCUUAGAAACCAAAACCUCUGUUCAGAAGCAUAUAUUCUAUGGUAGGAGAUCCUUAUUUGGUUACCCAAUGAGGCUCCAUAAAUUCUAUGGUAGGAGAUCCUUUUUGCUGUCUACUUAUAUACAAAUGUAUCAUAAGUGUUUGUUCUAUAAUAUUAAACCAAAAUACAAUCAUGUCAAAGGGUAAAAAAGAGGAGUUUGACAAAUAGAUGUUGAGAAAUUAUACCGUGACUUCAAUGGAAAACCGAGUAUCAAUUCGGCUGCCGGAAUAAUACACGUCGGAGGUGUCGAGGAAAGUGAUGCCGGACACGGAGGUGUCGAGGAAAGUGACGCCGCUCUCGAGACUAUGUGAGAACGUGACGCCGCUGAUACUUCCAGCCUUUCUCUAUGCUCUGGAUCAUAAAUUAGGGACCAAUUAAGGUUUGGGGCUGAAAUUAGGGCUGAGUAUUGAGAGAUAAGAGGAGAGGGCUGGGUAUGAGAGUUCUGUGUGUAAGAACAGAG